rnacentral:tRNA from 1 species
GGUCGAGUAGCUCAGCUGGUAGAGCAACGGAUUGAAAAUCCGUGUGUCGGCGGUUCAAGCCCGCCCUCGACCACCA